ACACUUACCUGGCAGGGGAGAUACCAUGAUUAAGCAGGUGGUUUUCCCAGGGCGAGGCUCAUCCAUUGCACUUGGGGUGUGUUGACCCCUGUGAUUUCCCCAAAUGAGGGAAACUUGACUGCAUAAUUUGUGGUAGUGGGGGACUGUGUCCGCACUCUCCCCUG